rnacentral:rRNA from 1 species
UACGUAGGGUGCGAGCGUUAAUCGGAAUUACUGGGCGUAAAGCGUGCGCAGGCGGUUAUGUAAGACAGGUGUGAAAUCCCCGGGCUUAACCUGGGAACUGCAUUUGUGACUGCAUAGCUAGAGUACGGUAGAGGGGGAUGGAAUUCCGCGUGUAGCAGUGAAAUGCGUAGAUAUGCGGAGGAACACCGGUGGCGAAGGCGGUCUGCUGGGCAGUAGCUGACACUGAGGCGCGACAGCGUGGGGAGCAAACAGG